rnacentral:rRNA from 1 species
GUAUGCUUCUCCCAAGACUAAGCCAUGCAUGCCUCGAAUAAGAAUGCAGCUAUUCUCUGAAUCUGCGUACGGCUCCGAAAACCAGUUGUAAAUUGUUGCGAGCCCUGUCCGUCUUGUCUUCGGUUUUGGGUACAGGUUUCGGGCUCACGGGUCGCGCAUUCCUGUUUCCCUCUUCAGGCUGUACGUAGGCGGGCGAUAUGGAUAACCCCGGUAAUUCUGGGGCUAAUACAUGACUUGUGAAUCGCCAACAGCGCUCAGUCCCCAUUUGUUCUUUUUGCUCAGAGGCGACUAGUGACACAGGAAGCCUGAAGGCGGCGUGGGUACUCAUUUGGCCCCCAGAUGAUAGGAGUAAGGGUACUAUUUCCUCGGACCACAGCCCGAGUUUACUCGGGAAGAGCUGUCGCCCCGGCGGUUCUCUUUUUCUCCCCUGCCAGCCCAGCUCAGGGACCCCCCCUAGGUAAGGCUCAGGUGGAGAAUUCCCCCGCUGGCGAAUCGUCGGCUUUGUGGCUCUCGCGGGGUGCUUCUGACCUAUCAACUAGAUGGUAGCAUACGGGACAUGCAAUGGUUACAACGGGUACAGAGGAUAAGGGUUCGAUCCUGGAGAGUGAGCCUGAGAGAUUGCUCAUACUUCUAAGGAAGGCAGCAGGCGCGCAACGUUCCCCUUGGGCGCUAGCUCGAGGGCGUUAGGGAGAAUAGUAAUACUUGCCUAUAUGGUGAGUAAUUACAAUGGGACUGUUGCAAACAGCCUAUCGAGUAACAAUUAGAGGACAAGUCUGGUGCCAGCACCCGCGGUAAUUCCAGCUCUAAUGGCGUACAUUAAAGUUGUUGCAGUUAAAACGCUCGUAGUCGACUCCUGGCUCACUUUCGGCUUCGACGAGGUUACACCUGCCUGGGCGGUCGUUGCAGGGGUUUUCAGGGUCCUCUUCCGAUGAGGCCCGGCUUCCUGCCCACGUCACAGAGGUGCGGCCAGUAUUCGAUGCCCGGGGGCGACCCAUUUGCAGUCGGGACGUUCCCAGCAUUCGUGCGGGCGGUACGGAAAAAGGGGGGUUUCUCUCGGGGUCCGCCUCGGAAGGAAUUUCCCUGCUCCUCCCCCCCCUGCACUGGGAUUACAGGCUACCAGGACCGGACACGCUUGGAAUACGGGCAUAGCAAAACUCCACAAGUAUACGCCGGUAUUUCCUUCUAGCUGGUCUCGAUCGCCAAUCGACCAUAACUAAACUGUAGUGUUCGAAGCAGGUCACUUUUAGUGGACCAUUGCGCCGUCCAGUAUGGGAUCAAAGCAAACAACGGGAUGCGCUGGGGGGCGCUACCCGUGCUAGACUGUGCUAAAGGGGUGUUCGGGGGUGACCGAAUUCCUGGGCGAGCGGUGAAAUGCGUUGACCCCAGGAAGUCGAUCGAUGGCGUAAGCUGUCACCAAGGACACGCCCGUUGAUCAAGAGCGAAAGUUGAGGGCGCGAAGACGAUCAGAUACCGUCGUAGUCUUAACUAUAAAUUCUACUGACUAGGGAUAGGACAAUGUCCAUCUCGACUCCUCCUGAUCCUCCGAGAAAUUAAAGUCUGUGAGUUCCGGGGGGAGUAUGGUCGCAAGGCUGAAACUUAAAGGAAUUGACGGAACGACACACAAAGAGUGGAACCUGCGGCUUAAUUUGACUCAACACGCGAAAUCUCACCAGGUCAUGAUAUGCUCAUGACGAACAAGCCGAUAGACUUUUUCCGAUUGCAUAAGUGGUGGUGCAUGGCCGUUCUUAGUUCGUGGAGUAGUCUGUCUGGUUUAUUCCGUUAACGAACGAGACCCCAAUACCUAAGUAGGGGCAGUUAUGCCGAGGCUAGUGGAAACGGGCGUCCUUUCUGUCGGGCUGUCUCCGGAUGGCUUGACUCUGGGCGCUGCUGUGGCUGCUAGCUGAUAGCUACCCUCGGAAGGUUUGAUCGCUUCUUAGGUUGAUCGAGGUCGAUAAGGUCUCUGAGAUGGGGCCAUAACAGGUCAGUCAUGCCCUUAGAUGCCCUGGGCCGCACGCGCGUUACAUUGGUAGAUACAACGGGUAUUCUGCCUAACCGUAGAUGUCCCAUCUUCGAAAGGAGCCUGGUAAGCCCUUAAGAUCUACCUAGCCUGGGAUAGGUCGAUUGAAAAUAUUGGUCUUGAACGAGGAAUUUUUAGUAUGCGCGAGUCACGAGCUCGUGCCGAAUUAGUCCCUGUCGUUUGUACACACCGCCCGUCGCUGCUACCGAUUGGGUUUUACAGUUAAGCCUCCUGAGUUCCAUUUUGCUGCUCUCACCCGAGGGCCAGCACCUGGCGCAAAGUUGUACCUACUGUACGGCCUAGAGGAAGCAGAAGUCGUAAC